rnacentral:rRNA from 1 species
ACUCCUACGGGAGGCAGCAGUGGGGAAUCUUGGACAAUGGGCGCAAGCCUGAUCCAGCCAUGCCGCGUGAGUGAUGAAGGCCCUAGGGUCGUAAAGCUCUUUCGCCAGAGAUGAUAAUGACAGUAUCUGGUAAAGAAACCCCGGCUAACUCCGUGCCAGCAGCCGCGGUAAUACGGAGGGGGUUAGCGUUGUUCGGAAUUACUGGGCGUAAAGCGCGCGUAGGCGGACUGGAAAGUUGGGGGUGAAAUCCCGGGGCUCAACCCCGGAACUGCCUCCAAAACUAUCAGUCUAGAGUUCGAGAGAGGUGAGUGGAAUUCCGAGUGUAGAGGUGAAAUUCGUAGAUAUUCGGAGGAACACCAGUGGCGAAGGCGGCUCACUGGCUCGAUACUGACGCUGAGGUGCGAAAGUGUGGGGAGCAAACAGGAUUAGAUACCCUGGUAGACUGUCA